rnacentral:lncRNA from 1 species
CUCAUUUUAGAGACCUAAUAAUUUAAAGAAUUUAAUCAAUUUAGAGAAGAGAGAAGAAGAGAUCAAUCAGUAGACCAUAAUCCUCCCACUGACUUCACCAAAUCACUUAAUCAGAUUAGGGUCAUGCUGAUUGAACUGGCACCUAGAUCAAUCACAUUGAUCAAUUUUAAUGGCAUGGGUUAACUUGAAUCACUUAACGAUCUAAUCAAAAUUUAAUUAACCAAAUUAUCCAGAUAGGUG